CGAGCUUGUAACCCAAGUGGGGACAUUAAGAUGGUUGGACACUGGUCGGGUUUCACCCGGUAGGUGCUGUUGCGCACACUACGUUGACUCGCCCGCUCCAAGUUGGGAGUUGGUCACAUUGUCCGGGCGUAGGCUUGGGCUGUGUUGAUCACUAUAAGCAACGAACACCUCCCGCUCUUGACAGUGGAAGGAUUACGAGUCAAUGUGCCCCAGUUCCAACUCAGCCUGGUGAGCCGAGUCAGUUGAACAACCACCUUUUU